AAGUAUAAAAGAGUAAAUAUUGAUCUGUACCUUUCGUUCUUUCUGCUUCAGGAAUGAACCAUCGUACUAGUUGUUUGACAAAAUGCUAAUACCAAUACUUGCAUGAUGCAGAUCUGAUAAUCAAUUUGAUGAUUUGUGAACCUCUGUGGAUCAAUCAAUACCAAUAUGUCGAUCAUUAAGGGCUCAUUAUAAAUUCUUUUUUGCUACUGAUUCCAUUCCAUCUGAUGACUACAUUUGGAAUUUUAGCUUCAAGAAGGCACAAAAAUACAGAUGAGUAUUGUUGAAGUUCUGAAUGAUGCGAUGGUUCUUCAUACUGUCCUUCGGUGGCAUAUGAGUAAAGGAAUAGAGAUGCUGGUCCAAAAUGGGAGAUUUGCUUUCUAUAUGCUGAAGUUUCCAAAGUAUUUACAUGCAGGAGGGAGAGCAACUGCUAAAGUGUCAAAGAAGAUACUGAAGAUUGUAAAGGAUUGCUACAUCAUGCUGUGAAGGAGGAGGAGAUAAAGCAAGAAUUAUCUUAAGAACAGUUAUAGAUAUAUUUUAUCAUGCUGUGAAGAAGGGAGGAGAUAA